rnacentral:rRNA from 1 species
GAUGAACGCUGGCGGCGUGCCUAAUACAUGCAAGUCGAGCGAACAGAUGAGGAGCUUGCUCCUCUGACGUUAGCGGCGGACGGGUGAGUAACACGUGGAUAACCUACCUAUAAGACUGGGAUAACUUCGGGAAACCGGAGCUAAUACCGGAUAAUAUAUUGAACAGCAUGGUUCAAUAGUGAAAGACGGUUUUGCUGUCACUUAUAGAUGGAUCCGCGCCGCAUUAGCUAGUUGGUAAGGUAACGGCUUACCAAGGCGACGAUGCGUAGCCGACCUGAGAGGGUGAUCGGCCACACUGGAACUGAGACACGGUCCAGACUCCUACGGGAGGCAGCAGUAGGGAAUCUUCCACAAUGGGCGAAAGCCUGACGGAGCAACGCCGCGUGAGUGAUGAAGGUCUUCGGAUCGUAAAACUCUGUUAUUAGGGAAGAACAAAUGUGUAAGUAACUAUGCACGUCUUGACGGUACCUAAUCAGAAAGCCACGGCUAACUACGUG